rnacentral:rRNA from 1 species
AUUUGUGCACAAUUUAGCCUCUUCAUUAAAUAAAUAUAAUUAUAAUUACUGUUAAGUCCCUCUUCAGCACUAUUGUUAAAAUGGUGCAUUCGUUUAUAACUUCAAAUGUAACUCGUCGUUACCAUAGAAUUGUCUGCACCUUGAUCUGUCUUUUGAGUUCUUACUGCGUUGGUAAAACUUCGAGUGUUACCUGACGACGACGGCAUACAAGAAUUUUCAAUGGUUAAUUUACCUUGGUGGUUAUCAUUUAUUAGAUAAGUUCCCCUAAAUUAAAAUUACCGCCAUGUUGUUUAAGUUUUAACUUUGAUAGUUGUAGUACUCUGCAAAAUAAAGUGGGCAUUUGUAUAAAGGGGUAUCUAAUCCCUGUCUAUCACUAAUGUUUAGAAUAUUAAACACACAGGUAGAGCUACGAAUUGAUAUAUUUCACCACUCAUGUAAUAGUACUAGUGUGUUAUUUUGCUACUACUCGNCUUUUUUACUAAAGUAUGACCGC